rnacentral:rRNA from 1 species
GGGGUGCUCGAGUGGCGAACGGGUGAGUAACACGUGAGUAACCUGCCCUUGACUUUGGGAUAACUUCAGGAAACUGGGGCUAAUACCGGAUAGGAGCUCCUGCUGCAUGGUGGGGGUUGGAAAGUUUCGGCGGUUGGGAAUUGACUCGCGGCUUAUCAGCUUGUUGGUGGGGUAGUGGCUUACCAAGGCUUUGACGGGUAGCCGGCCUGAGAGGGUGACCGGCCACAUUGGGACUGAGAUACGGCCCAG